CGCGUAGGCGGCUUUUCAAGUCGGGGGUGAAGGCCUGUGGCUCAACCACAGAAUUGCCUUCGAUACUGUUAGGCUUGAGACCGGAAGAGGUGAGUGGAACUGCGAGUGUAGAGGUGAAAUUCGUAGAUAUUCGCAAGAACACCAGUGGCGAAGGCGGCUCACUGGUCCGGUUCUGACGCUGAGGCGCGAAAGCGUGGGAGCAAACA
rnacentral:rRNA from 1 species